GACUGUGUUCACCAUGGUCUGGGCGCCUGUCUUUCUCCUGGUCCUCUGUCACUGCUCAGGUUCCCUCUCCCAGCCUGUGCUGACUCAGCCGCCCUCCCUCUCUGCAUCGCUGGGAGCCUCAGCCAGACUCACCUGCACCCUGAGCAGUGGCUUCAAUGUUGGGGACUUCUGGAUAUGCUGGUAUCAGCAUAACCCAGGGAGCCCUCCCCGAUAUCUCCUGACCUUGAAGUCAGGCUCAGAUAAACACCAGGGCUCUGGGGUCCCCAGCCGCUUCUCUGGAUCCAAAGACACCUCCGCCAAUGCAGGGAUCCUGCACAUCUCUGGGCUGCAGGCCGAGGACGAGGCUGACUAUUACUGUGCCACAUGGCAUGGCAGCUCUAAGAUUUACACAGUGCUCCAAACCCUUGGGGAAGUGAGACAAAAAACCUCCUCUCUGCCCUCCUAGCCUGGUGCAGUCAUUCUUUCUGGUGGUUCUGACAAAGUCU